AGUGAACGCUGGCGGUAGGCCUAACACAUGCAAGUCGAACGGCAGCGCAGUAAGAGCUUGCUCUUACGGGUGGCGAGUGGCGGACGGGUGAGGAAUACAUCGGAAUCUACUUUUUCGUGGGGGAUAACGUAGGGAAACUUACGCUAAUACCGCAUACGACCUACGGGUGAAAGCAGGGGAUCUUCGGACCUUGCGCGAUUGAAUGAGCCGAUGUCGGAUUAGCUAGUUGGCGGGGUAAAGGCCCACCAAGGCGACGAUCCGUAGCUGGUCUGAGAGGAUGACCAGCCCAACGGGAACUGGGAAACGGUCAAGACUCCUACGGGAGGGAGCAGGGGGGAAUAUUGGACAAUGGGCGCAAGCCUGAUCCAGCCAUACCGGGGGGGUGAAGAAGGCCUUCGGGUUGUAAAGCCCUUUUGUUGGGAAAGAAAAGCAGCAGGUUAAUACCCCGCUGUUCUGACGGUACCCAAAAAAUAAGCACCGGCUAACUUCGU
rnacentral:rRNA from 1 species